UACAGAGGUCUCGAGCGUUAGGCGGAAUCACUGGGCUUAAAGCGUGUGUAGGUGGAUCGUUAAGUACCUUGUGAAAUCCCACGGCUUAACCGUGGAACUGCUUGGUAUACUGGCGGUCUUGAGUCAGCUAGGGGCUACCGGAACAAAUGGUGGAGCGGUGAAAUGCGUAGAUAUCGUAAGGAAGACCAGUGGCGAAGGCGGGUCUCUGGACAGUUCCUGACGGCUGAGGCACGAAGGCCCAGGGGAGCAAAACGGG
rnacentral:rRNA from 1 species